ensembl:snRNA U6 U6 spliceosomal RNA
GUGCUCACUUCUGCAGCAUAUAUACUAAAAUUGGAACAAUACAGAGAUUAGCAUGGCCCCUGUGCAAUGAUGACACGCAAAUUCGUGAAGCAUUCUAUAUUUUU